rnacentral:rRNA from 1 species
AUUGAACGCUGGCGGCAUGCCUUACACAUGCAAGUCGAACGGUAACGCGGGGCAACCUGGCGACGAGUGGCGAACGGGUGAGUAAAGCAUCGGAACGUGCCCAGUAGUGGGGGAUAGCCCGGCGAAAGCCGGAUUAAUACCGCAUACGACCUACGGGUGAAAGGGGGGGGAUCGCAAGACCUCCCGCUAUUGGAGCGGCCGAUGUCAGAUUAGGUAGUUGGUGGGGUAAAGGCCUACCAAGCCGACGAUCUGUAGCUGGUCUGAGAGGACGACCAGCCACACUGGGACUGAGACACGGCCCAGACUCCUACGGGAGGCAGCAGUGGGGAAUUUUGGACAAUGGGCGCAAGCCUGAUCCAGCCAUGCCGCGUGCGGGAAGAAGGCCUUCGGGUUGUAAACCGCUUUUGUCAGGGAAGAAACGCUCUGGGUUAAUACCCUGGGGUAAUGACGGUACCUGAAGAAUAAGCACCGGCUAACUACGUGCCAGCCGCCGCCGUAAUAC